UACAGAGGGUGCGAGCGUUAAUCGGAAUUACUGGGCGUAAAGGGUGCGUAGGCGGUUUGUCGCGUCUGCCGUGAAAGUCCGGGGCUCAACUCCGGAUCUGCGGUGGGUACGGGCAGACUAGAGUGAUGUAGGGGAGACUGGAAUUCCUGGUGUAGCGGUGAAAUGCGCAGAUAUCAGGAGGAACACCGGUGGCGAAGGCGGUUCUCUGGGCAUGUCCUGACGCUGAGGAGCGAAAGUGUGGGGAGCGAACAGG
rnacentral:rRNA from 1 species